UUCAAGGCAAUGCUGACCUGCUACUUUCUAAAUACGGGAGAGAACGUUAGAGUUUUGUAAUGGUUUCUUGGAUCCUGUCAGAUCGUUCCAUACCGAUGAAGAAACUGAUGGAGAGACAUUGCUUGGCUUGACAGGAAGUAUGGUAGCAAGGCUGUUUCUGCGCAUAAAACAAAAAGUUAAAUUCCUUUUGGAAUUGGGGAAAUACAGGAAUGGUAUUCCUCCGGCGCAAAAUGAGAAACCCCCAGCAUCUCCACCAACCCAAACAACUCAUCCUCCAUUGGCACCACCAACAGCCUGGCCAGCUGUAUACACUCUCCCAGUUUUCAGCCCAGAAGUUAGGGAGGCACUCAUGAAGAAAGACAGUGCAUUCUACAAAAAGGACAAGUCACAUCUUUGAACAGCACUUAUUA